UACGUAGGUGGCAAGCGUUAUCCGGAAUUAUUGGGGCGUAAAGCGCGCGCAGGUGGUUUCUUAAGUCUGAUGUGAAAGCCCACGGCUCAACCGUGGAGGGUCAUUGGAAACUGGGAGACUUGAGUGCAGAAGAGGAAAGUGGAAUUCCAUGUGUAGCGGUGAAAUGCGUAGAGAUAUGGAGGAACACCAGUGGCGAAGGCGACUUUCUGGUCUGUAACUGACACUGAGGAGCGAAAGCGUGGGGAGCGAACAGG
rnacentral:rRNA from 1 species